GCAAGAACAGUCUCUCAUAACAAACUCUCCCUUCACUCCUGGAACCAGUUUUAAAGCUGCAGAACUUAAUAUCCAGCACAAACAGAACAGAAAAUUGGGGAUACAAGCAUCAUAAAGUCACCCCAGCACACAAUCUAUAUGUAUUUCCCUACAAAAGAUCUAUUGUGAAUUUUCACCUACAUCUACUGGUCAGCUAACUCUGGAAGAACCUACACCACUUUCAGGCACUGUGAGAAAGAAGCAGCCUAAAGAAGCAGAGUACUGAAAUCUCACCUCCUGAUGUUCUUUGAGGACCAUUUGGACACUCACUACUUAAAAUCUCGAGUCCUACAGAAAUCUUCAGUGAAACUGUGCAAAAAUGAAGAAAGCAACAAGGAGUGCAGAGACUUCCAGAUGAUAUAAGACUAAAAAGACAAUCUUUAACAUGGGUUAAAUGGAGCUUGGUGAGAACUAAACUUUAUCCAUAAAGUGAUGAGUUAGAAGAGCUAGAGAAUGCCAAGAAUCUAAUUCCAAAUCUAUGCAUUUGAACUUGAAUUCCUUAGGACUAGAACGUUAAAGUGGGAGUUGAUAAUGCUCAUGAAAUAUUCCAUCAGUCCCACCAAACAUUGCCUUCCAAAAGC